rnacentral:pre_miRNA from 15 species
CUACUAUUCAUCAUACGUCUGCCUGUGGCAUCUGAGGUAGUAUGUAAUAUUGUAGACUGUCUAUAAUGUCCACAAUGUUUCAACUAACUCGGCUGUUCU